rnacentral:lncRNA from 1 species
AUGAAAGGAGGAAGGGGCUGAGGUGGAACUGGCCUCCAGAACAAAGAAGUCUUCUAUAGGUAUCAUGAGAGAAAAAAAUAAUUCCUCUUUCAGGAGUGAUACACAAGGGAAGAAUUGAGGAUGACUCAGAGAUUACAAUCCCAGCUGAGUGGAAGGAUGGUGGUCCCCUUAAAAUAAAGAGGAAAAGAAGAGAUUUUCAUGGAGGGCAAAGAUAAUGAUUUCAGGUUUAAAUAUUUAACUUUGAAAUGUCUAUAGAAUAGCUGUGUUUCC